rnacentral:rRNA from 1 species
AGCAGCCGCGGUAAUUCCAGCUCCAAUAGCGUAUAUUAAAGUUGUUGCAGUUAAAAAGCUCGUAGUUGAAUUUCGGGAUCAAUAUGUUGGUCGUGCCUUUGGUACGUACUAGCUUAUUGAUUUCUCCCUUCUGACGAACCAUGAUGUCAUUAAUUUGGUGUCAUGGGGAAUCAGGACUGUUACUUUGAAAAAAUUAGAGUGUUUAAAGCAGGCUUACGCUUGAAUAUAUUAGCAUGGAAUAAUGAAAUAGGACGUUUUGAUUCUAUUUUGUUGGUUUCUAGGAUCGACGUAAUGAUUAAUAGGGAUAGUUGGGGGCAUUAGUAUUCAAUUGUCAGAGGUGAAAUUCUUGGAUUUAUUGAAGACUAACUACUGCGAAAGCAUUUGCCAAGGAUGUUUUCAUUAAUCAAGAACGAAAGUUAGGGGAUCGAAGACGAUCAGAUACCGUCGUAGUCUUAACCAUAAACUAUGCCGACUAGGGAUCGGAUGAUGUAAUUUUUAAUGACUCAUUCG